rnacentral:ncRNA from 1 species
GGAACUCUGGAGAAGCUCCGCGCGCCGCCUGCGGCCCGGGAGUGCCGAAGGUGCAAGGCCGCAAGGCCGAAUCUCUCAGGCAAAAGGACAGAGCG